AGAAUUUCUAACUAGAUGGCGCUGUGCAAUGACGUCACGUUUCUGAAUCGCGGUGUUAAGAUUCUCCGCGGUCGAACGACCCUCGCGCCGUACUGUAGCGAACUCAUACUUACCUGGCAUAGGGGAUACCGUGAUCAAGAAGGCGGUUCCCCCAGGGCGAGGUCUAUCCAUUGCACUGCGGAUAGGUUGACCCCUGCGAUUAUCCCUAAUGUGGAUAACUCGGAUGCGUAAUUUUUGGUAGUGGGGACUGCGUACGCGCCGUCCCCUC